GACAAUCUGGCCGAGUGGUUAAGGCGGCAGACUCGAAUGGCCUAUUCUCUUAGGUCUACUGUUAUCUGCUGGGUUCGCCCGCACAGGUUCAAAUCCUGUGGUUGUCG
rfam:Cladophialophora immunda strain CBS 83496 unplaced genomic scaffold supercont1.1, whole genome shotgun sequence.